UACGGAGGGUGCAAGCGUUAUCCGGAAUCACUGGGUUUAAAGGGUGCGUAGGCGGCUUGGUAAGUCAGAGGUGAAAGCUUCCCGCUCAACGGGAGAACUGCCUUUGAUACUGCCAGGCUCGAAUUGGGUUGAGGCGGGCGGAAUGUGGCAUGUAGCGGUGAAAUGCUUAGAUAUGCCAUAGAACACCGAUUGCGAAGGCAGCCCGCCAAGCCUUGAUUGACGCUGAGGUGCGAAAGCGUGGGGAUCAAACAGG
rnacentral:rRNA from 1 species